CAAAAGCCUGUGAGGAAGAAAAGUAGUGAAGCACGUGCCCGGACAGAGAAAAAUGCCGCGACUGAGAGCAUUUACGGUGUACCUUCAUGAACAGACACUUCUGAGGCGUUUUUCUGAAAUAAGUAGGAAAAACCGCGAAUUGCGUUAUCAACAAAAAGUGAAAGCUUCGGCUUUAACGAGGGUGGCACCGCGGAAAACUUCCGUCCCUGCG
rnacentral:ncRNA from 1 species